GAUGAACGCUGGCGGCGUGCCUAACACAUGCAAGUCGAGCGAACAGACGCGGCUCUUGCUCCUCUCACAUUUGCGGCGCACGGGUGAGUCACACGAGUAUCACCUACCUAUAAGUCUGGGAUCACUUCGAGACACCGGCUCUUAUACCGUAUAAUAUCUUGAUCCGUAUGGUUCAAUAGUAAAUUACGGCUUUGCUGUCACUUAUAGCUGCAUCCGCGCUGCAUUAGCUAGUUGGUAAGGUAACGGCUUACCAAGGCAACCAUGCGUAACCGACCUGAGAGGGUGGUCGGCGACACUGGAGCUGAGACACGGUCCAGAGUCCUACGGGAGGCAGCAGUAGGGAAUCUGACGCAGUAGGCGGAAACAUGACGGAGCAACGCCGCGUGAGAGGUAGAGGUCUUCGGAUCGUAAAACUCUGUUAUGAGGGAUGAACAAAUGUGUAAGUAACUAUGCACGUCUUGACGGUACCUAAUCAGAAAGCCACGGCUAACUACGUG
rnacentral:rRNA from 1 species